UACAGAGGUCUCAAGCGUUGUUCGGAUUCAUUGGGCGUAAAGGGUGUGUAGGUGGCGCGCUAAGUCGGGUGUGAAAUUUCGGAGCUUAACUCCGAAACUGCAUUCGAUACUGGCGUGCUUGAGGACUGGAGAGGAGACUGGAAUUCAUGGUGUAGCAGUGAAAUGCGUAGAUAUCGGGAGGAACACCUGUGGCGAAAGCGGCGCACUGGACCAUAACUGACGCUGAGGCGCGAAAGCUAGGGGAGCAAACAGG
rnacentral:rRNA from 1 species